rnacentral:rRNA from 1 species
UACGAAGGGGGCAAGCGUUGUUCGGAAUUACUGGGCGUAAAGGGCGCGUAGGCGGCCGAUCAAGUCAGGCGUGAAAUUCCCGGGCUCAACCUGGGGGCUGCGCUUGAUACUGAUUGGCUUGAAUGCGGGAGAGGAUAGUGGAAUUCCCGGUGUAGUGGUGAAAUGCGUAGAUAUCGGGAGGAACACCAGUGGCGAAGGCGACUACCUGGCCUGUUUCUUGACGCUGAGGCGCGAAAGCUAGGGGAGCAAACGGG